rnacentral:lncRNA from 1 species
AAGGGUUACAUCACAAUUCUGCACCAGUCAGCCUGAUAAAUGUGGGGACUCCUAGAUGAUUAUUGAGGGAGGGAUCUUUGUGACCUGGAUAUACUAUGGUUGACCACUUGAAAUGGAAACUAAAGGAAGUAAAAUCGCAGAUAAGGGGAGACUGCUGUACAGAUGGCUUUACUAAAAGAAUGCCAACGUCGUCGUUAAAUCUAGGGAAUCUAAUUUUGCAGUCUGUGGGAUUUAGAACAGAAGGAGAAGGAAGCGUCAUAUGGUCACACUCACUACUGGCUUCUUGGAAAACUGCUACCCGGUGAUGCUAGUGAAAUGGCCCCCCAAAUAUGGACUAGCCGUGGAAUGUGAAAUACUAAUUUUAGCUUUUCAGAGAUCGUUUGAAGCUCCCCCGCCUCUCUUCUACUACAAUCAAAAUCCAGACUGAAAAUUGUUACUUCUUUGUAUGUUUCUCCAGAUUUGCUCAGUUCACGUACCAAGACCUGAUCCCUAACUUUGAACUGUGAAACAUGAAAUAGCUCCCAUCCCAUCAGUUGUUGGAAAAUUUUAACGGUUGAAAAUGUAACAGAGGGGUAUCUGAACCUUGCAGUUUAAAAAGGCAGGCUUUCUAGGAUGUAAAAUCCAUAGAACACCAAAUAUAUCCAUAGAACCAGUUUUAAAGAUAUUGUUAAGACACAAGAGUGCUGGAGAAAUGAUAUAAGUAUCUAUCUGAAUAUAGUAGUUUCCACCUCUAUGACCAGUAACCAAAUUAUAUAAAGACUAUAUAUUUUAAAAGAAAAUGAUUUUGUCUUUUACUCUGUCCUUUUCCCUGCCAGCCCUGUUUGAUUCAUUUUUCCUAUGAAGCCAUUUCUGACUUCUUCAUUCUACAAUGAAUCCCCCUAUAGGUUACUCCUGUCUCUCAGAGCACCGAACCUGUUAGUCUCUAAAUGCUAACUUCCAAGUGGUUCUGUGUGAUGUCGCAUUUGCUUUUCUGUGCAUGUAUUAUCUAUCUGAGAGGCCAUGGGCUUUCUGUUAUUUCUAUGGCCUUUAAAUAAUCACAUGAAUCCUAGGCUGACCCUGGUCCACAUAUUGAUUGACUACUGCUUCUUUUUAAAAAUACAAUGUCAUCAUUGUGCACUAAUUUAAUGAGGCAGUGACCUUCAGUCGAAACUGGGGCCUAACUUUAGAAAAAUCAGUAUGCAGGCACGAUGAACUCACAUCUUGUAGCAUCUGCUUUAGACUAGAAGGAUCAGAGGUCCAAAUGUCUCACUCAAGCUCUGUCAUGAUCAGUGAUGGGACUUUUCAAGACCUUGUAGAGAAUACGGCUAUCAAAAAAAAACGUUGGUCGAUUUAAUUAAUAAUAAUAUAAGAGCCAAUUUCACAGCUCAUUACCCCAAGCAGGCUAGAACACAGAAGUUGAAGGGAGGCUCACACACACACAUGGGCGUUGCUGCUUUUGGUCUUGAUGGUGACCCAUAGCCAAAUGGACAAGAAAUGUCCUUUUGCUGUGUGUCUUCAGCAACUAAUCAUUUGUGUCUACAUUAAUUCAGGCUCAAUAACAUAGAACAGAGAGAAAGUAGGAAGAAACAGGAACCCCACCCCCUGGUUUACAUCAUUAAUAAGGCCAGGGAUGCUUCAGGUUCCUCCUCCCUCUCCCCUCCCUUUCACUUUCUGUUUCCUUUAACUGAAGGCAAUUCAUCUCAUUUUAAUUAAUUUUUACUUGCAGCAUUAUCACCCUGAGUAUAAAGACAAAAAGUUUUUUUUUUUUUUUAAUUACAAAGCUCACGGCAUUAAUUACUAGUACAGUAAAUGCCUAGACGCACAAAGCUCCGUGCCUUCCAAGGAGCUGAAGCAGCAAUUGGUGAACAUUCCAACAGUUGGAAAAAUACUUAAGUCACAAAGGAGAAACCUUUCUGCAGUUCUAAUAUGAAGGCUGUCCCUGCACCAACUGAGCCACUGCUUAAUUGAAGGUGACAUGGCUGAUGAACUAGAGACAGGACUAUUGCAUUAGAGAGGACAGGUUAUUCAUAGAGUCACUCAGGAUUUCCUGCUGAGGAUACAGUCAGGAACAACAAAAAAAUCUAACAAGUUUUGAAAUAUAUAUAUAAAAUCAGCUGCACUAAUUUACCAUUAUUUUAUAUCUGAAAUGUCAAAUGUCCUUCUUUUUACUCUUUUUUGUUGUACU